rnacentral:rRNA from 1 species
GGCCUUUUGGAGAUUUAUAUAAAAGGUUGGGCCUGCCCGGUGAUCUGAAAUGGUUUAACGGCUGCGAUUGAAACCGUACUAAGGUAGCAUAAUAAUUUGCCCUUUAAUUGGGGGAGAGAAUGAAUGGUUUGACGGUAAAAAAGCUGUUUUAAAAAUAAAAAAAGAAGUUAACUUUUAAGUGAAAAGGCUUAAGUUUUUAUAAAAGACGAGAAGACCCCGUCGAGCUUAAUUAGAAUAACUUAAAUGUAGGUUAUUUAAAAUUUUAUUGGGGCAAUAGAAAAUGAAAUGAAUCAUUUUUUUUAUCAUAAGGAUCCAGUUUUGACUGAAAAAAGCAAAAGCUACCGCGGGGAUAACAGGGUAAUUUUUUCUGAGAGUUCAUAUUUAAGAAGAAGUUUGCUACCUCGAUGUUGGAUUACAAUUUCUUUAUGCUUGC